UCCAGACUCCUACGGGAGGCAGCAGUGGGGAAUAUUGCACAAUGGGGGAAACCCUGAUGCAGCGACGCCGCGUGAGUGAAGAAGUAUUUCGGUAUGUAAAGCUCUAUCAGCAGGGAAGAAAAUGACGGUACCUGACCAAGAAGCCCCGGCUAACUACGUGCCAGCAGCCGCGGUAAUACGUAGGGGGCAAGCGUUAUCCGGAUUUACUGGGUGUAAAGGGAGCGUAGACGGCUGAGCAAGUCAGAAGUGAAAGCCCGGGGCUCAACCCCGGGACUGCUUUUGAAACUGCGGAGCUGGAGUGCAGGAGAGGUAAGCGGAAUUCCUGGUGUAGCGGUGAAAUGCGUAGAUAUCAGGAGGAACACCAGUGGCGAAGGCGGCUUACUGGACUGUAACUGACGUUGGGGCUCGAAAGCGUGGGGAGCAAACAGGAUUAGAUACCCCGGUACA
rnacentral:rRNA from 1 species